rnacentral:tRNA from 1 species
GGGAUCAUAGCUCAGCUGGGAGAGCACUUGCCUUACAAGCAAGGGGUCACAGGUUCGAGUCCCGUUGGUCCCA